GUCCUUUUGAAUAUGAUUUAAGGUCUGUCCUGCCCAAUGAUUUUUAAAUGGCCGCAGUAUUUUGACUGUGCAAAGGUAGCAUAAUCAUUAGUUUCUUAAUUGGAAGCUGGUAUGAACGGAUUGAUGAGAAAUUAUCUGUCUCUGCUUAAUUUUUAGAAUUUUAUUUUUGAGUGAGAAAGCUUAAAUUUAGUUAAAAGACGAGAAGACCCUAUAGAGUUUUAUUAAAUAAAAAUUUGUUUAUUAGGUUUAAAAUAAAUUUUUUAUUAAUUUGGUUGGGGUGAUUAAUAAAUUUAGUUAACUUUAUUUUAUUUGGACUUUUAUUUUAGGAUACUUGAUCCUUUGUUUUGGAUUAUAAGAUUAAAUUACCUUAGGGAUAACAGCGUUAUCUUUCCUUAGAGUUCUUAUUGAUGGAAAGGUUUGCGACCUCGAUGUUGGAUUAAAAUUAAAUUGUGGUGCAGUAGCUGCAAUAUUGGGUCUGUUCGACCUUUAAAAUUUUACGUGAUCUGAGUUCC
rnacentral:rRNA from 1 species